UACGUAGGGGCCGAGCGUUGUCCGGAGUUAUUGGGCGUAAAGCGCGCGCAGGCGGCUUGGCGCGCCCGACGUGAAAGCCCCCGGCUUAACCGGGGAGGGUCGUCGGGUACGGCCAGGCUUGAGGGCGGGAGAGGGUGGUGGAAUUCCCGGUGUAGUGGUGAAAUGCGUAGCGAUCGGGAGGAACACCUGUGGCGAAGGCGGCCACCUGGGCCGACCCUGACGCUGAGGCGCGAAGGCGUGGGGAGCGAACGGG
rnacentral:rRNA from 1 species